GGAGACAUUAAAUCAUCUUUAGACUUGAAUAAAUGAUAGUUUCUUCAGAAUUUGGUAGGACUUAUUAUGUGUGUCCAGAGUGUCAAAUUCCUUAAUUUUAGGGGCAGACCUCUGCCUUUCAAGAUAGUACAUUUCAUUAAUAUUUAACUUUUGGGGCAAAAUAUCAUGCAUAAUAUUUGUAUUAUUUAGGAUCUCUUACCUGUAAAUGAUAAAAAAAAAUCACCUUCUUUAGCAGAAGCCAGUGAGAGUUGUUCACGUGAUGUUGAGGAAUGGUGCCUGGAGCAAAGCUGUCAGAGGCCAGCAUUUCUCAGAGCCAUCUCUGGCUUCAGCUUGAUGGAUCCUUUUGCCUCCUACAGAUGUUUUCUGCAGGAAGCUCCAGUUUAUACACAGCCUGCAUAGACAGAGGCCCUUCCUUGAGGAUCCCUGUGAUUCAGGGAAGGCUGAUUGGUAUUGCUAGGGUCACUUGCUGUGGCCAGGCCUGAGGGAGAAGAAUGAACCACACCUUAUCUGUAUGAUGUAUGUUUCCCACAGAAUAGAGAAGUACUCUUACCAAAAAAGGCUGGGAGGGGGGUACAGGCAGAUGGAACCAACAACUGUGUCUCAUACUCUGUGUAUUUGCUUUUCUUUGGCUAGCUUUGCAAGAGGUGCAUUUUUUUGUUGACCUUUUCCUUCUGUUUCUUUGAAUUUGCCUGCUUGUUUGUAGAUUCUCAGAUUAUACAGGUAGCUGAUUUAAUUUCAGUUUUCUAACAUUUGAGGCUGUCUUUUCCCCUUAAUUACUCCACUGUUCCCCCUUUAUGGGCUGUGUCAGUGUGAGAUUUUUGGUGUUAUAUCUAUAAGUUUGAUUUUACUUUUUCUCCAGCUUUCUCGGUGAUUCCAUAAUCUACCUGGCCUCUUGUGUAUGCUAGGCAAGUACUUGACCACUGAGCUAUAUCCCUAGUACCCGUAAAAUCUUUUAAUCUCUACUUCUCCAUUUUUUAUCAGCUAUUUAGUACCUGUAGACUGUAGCUGUGCAUGGUGGGAAGAUCCUUGAAUUCUGUGUGCUACUUUCUCUGUCAUUCUCUGUUAUCUGUUUCCCUAACUUUGUGGUGGGAUCCAACCGUGUUUGAUGAGAUCUCCCAGAAUGCACUGAGAAUGUCCCAAGAGCCCCUUUCCACUGAAGCUGUGGCCAAUCCAUGCAUUGUGGCCCCUCCUGGCAUGGUACUUGACACUCUGGGGCCCUCCUGUCUCUGCACUUCUUAUCACUUCAAGACCAGCUUUUAUAGCCAUGUCACUUCUGAUGGGUAUUUCUUACACAGCCAUCUCACACUUUGUCACCCAGCUACCCGGGCAUAAGCACCAAGAAGCACAAAUGGCAUCCAGAACACAUCAUGUGGAGCUUUUGUUUAAUCUGUAAAUGUGGUGAAGUAUCUUGACAUUUUGACACAUUAGAGCAUUCUUAUAAGCCAGGUGCAGUGGCACACAACUAUAAUCCCAGCUAUUGGAGAGGAUGCUUGAGUCACCAGUUCAAGUCCAACCUGAACAACAUAGUGAGACGCCAAACAAAACAAAAAAACUUGCAUUCUUGGCAAAAACUGUCACAAUGUUUUUUUGUUUGUCUUACAUUGCUGGAUUCAGGUUCCUGAUAUUCGGGGAAAUUGUAAGCUCAUAAGUGAUAUGGUUUAAGCUUUUCAGAUUUCUGUGGCCCUUGAUUUUUUUUUUUUUUGUUAGUUGUUGAUAGACCUUUAUUUUUUAUUUUUUUAAGAGAGAGAAUUUUUUAAUAUUUAUUUUUUAGUUCUCGGCGGACACAACAUCUUUGUUUAUAUGUGGUGCUGAGGAUAUGGCCACACGCAUGCCAG
rnacentral:lncRNA from 1 species